UACAGAGGGUGCAAGCGCUGUUCGGAAUUACUGGGCGUAAAGCGCGUGUAGGCUGCGAUGUAAGUCAGGUGUGAAAGCCCUCAGCUUAGCUGAGGAAGUGCACUUGAUACUGUGUCGCUUGAGUGUCGGAGGGGGUGGCGGAAUUCCCGGUGUAGAGGUGAAAUUCGUAGAGAUCGGGAGGAACACCAGAGGCGAAGGCGGCGACCUGGACAAGUACUGACACUCAACUACGAAAGCGUGGGGAGCAAACAGG
rnacentral:rRNA from 1 species